GUUCUUGAUUGGAGUUUCGGAGCAGAGAGAGGCACAUGACGUGAUCCGCCUGAGCUCAAUCCCUUGGAUUUUGAGAAGAGAACAUUUCAGGUAAAAUGUUGGUGGCUUGUUUGAAUCUAGUUAAUUUCGCUGUGCACGUUCAUGAUCAUUAGCCUGAGCAAGGAGGGCCUUGAAUUGUUGCACCUCAUCAAAGUCGGCCUCGCUCUCCGUACCCAUAGAAAAUCUCCGAGUCUCGGUAGUAAGCUGCGUGAGCUGUUGCUCUAGGAAUUUGAGCUUUUUCUUCUUCCCCUGAUAAUCAACUUUAAGUCUUUUGUAUUCGGCGGCGAGUGUCUUGUUCUUUUGCCUCAUUUUCUCGGAUAGUACACGAGCAACGACAAUCUCAGCCUGCUUGUGAUUCAUUUCCACCAUCCAACUACCAUAGAAACAACACGAGGUUCUGUCAGUAAGAUCGAUAUCAUAAAAUCUUAUGAAGCGUCGCAAUGGUUGCUAACAUACUAGCUUGACCAAAUUAUCUUGUCCUAUUUUAAGAAAUCCAUAAAUUAUUUCCAAUAACCAUAAUAAUGAUGAUAAUAACCAUGAUAACAACAGUGAUGAUAAUAACCAUAAUAAUCAUAAUAAUAAUGAUAAUAGUAACAGCAAUAGAACAGGGAUAUAGGAUUAAAUGGCAAGGAUUCAGUAGAUGAAACUUACUUCUGACGCUCUUGAUUCAGCUGCGUUUGUAAGUUGGAGAGCUCUUCAUCCUUUUCACGGGCAUUGUCAGAAUGCCGAGCUCUUUCAGAGAUUAAUUCCAGCUGCUGUUGACUUACAAGCGACUGCAUAAUAAUUUACAACUCCUUCGAAUAAGGUAAAGGCAAACAAGCAAAUACAUGCCGAAAGAAUUGUUCAAUACUUGCAAGUAAAAAGAAUGAGCUUCAGAACUUUCGGUCAGGAACUUGAUCUGGUUGUAGUACUCACAGCAUAAUUACUGAUAUCCAGUUUCACAUUGUGAAGGUCUCGCAUCACAUCUUGAGUAAGCGUCUCAGCUUCCUUGAGCUGCUCAUUUAAGGCUUUCAGCUGGGCAUCUUUGCCUUCACAUUGAGACUGCAGAUCGUCAAGCUCCUGGUGCACGUGAGUAAGUUCUGCCUCCAUUUCCUCUAACC
rnacentral:lncRNA from 1 species